rnacentral:rRNA from 1 species
CCUACGGGUGGCAGCAGUGGGGGAUAUUGCACAAUGGGGGGAACCCUGAUGCAGCGACGCCGCGUGGGUGAAGAAGCGCCUCGGCGCGUAAAGCCCUGUCAGCAGGGAAGAAAAUGACGGUACCUGAAGAAGAAGCCCCGGCUAACUACGUGCCAGCAGCCGCGGUAAUACGAAGGGGGCAAGCGUGAUCCGGAUUUACUGGGUGUAAGGGGGGGGCAGACGGGGAUGCAAGCCAGGAGUGAAAGCCCGGGGCCCAACCCCGGGACUGCUCUUGGAACUGCGUGGCUGGAGUGCAGGAGGGGCAGGCGGAAUUCCUGGUGUAGCGGUGGAAUGCGUAGAUAUCAGGAGGAACACCAGUGGCGAAGGCGGCCUGCUGGACUGCAACUGACGUUGAGGCCCGAAAGCGUGGGGAGCAAACAGGAUUAGAUACCCCAGUAGUC